rnacentral:lncRNA from 1 species
AUGAUGUCAAAUGUUAGAUGCCCCGGACUAUGUGCUGAGACCCUAUUUGUACUGUUGCUGAAGUUUGGUGCUGUUCUGAGCAUUAUUUGUGGCUUUUUGGUGGCGGUUUAUAUUUGGAUCCAUUUACUGCAGUGUAUUGUUGUCGUGCGGUCGUUUCUGAGGUUGAUAAAACUCCGUAAAUUAGCGGUCUGCUAACUUGAUCCCUCGAGAGGGAGUCUAACACAUUUUCACUGUGAUUUAGACCAUGGAUUAAAUCUACACCGGAAUAUCCCUUUAAUUUACCUGGUUUGUGUUCUGAGGGCUGGACACUGGACACUCGGCCUGUCAAUCAAACCUGAUCCACACACAAACACUGUGGUGGUUUGACCCGAGCGUCACGCUGAGGUCUGCAGGCUGAACACCGACACUGAAGGAAAGGUCAGGACAUUCACAGACGGCUUCCUGCAGGUACACACACACACACACACACGCACACACACACACACACACACACACACACACACACACAGCCUUUAUGACCUUUUAAUUUGUACACAUUGACUCCGACCACCUGCAAUUACUAAACGGGAUUUUUAGGAAUCGUUCAGCCUGAAUGUGACCCGACUCAUCUGAUGGGUGUGGUGCAGUUUGAUUGAUUAUCACAGAGUUUGUCAUAUGCAGGACCGUUGUGUGUUUAUUAUUAUAAAACUGUCCUCCUGUUAACAACCAGCUGCCGACUGAAGGAGCUCCGUUUACUUUCUGUUGUGAUUUUAUUUGACAGCGAAACGUUUCUGACUUUCCCUCCGUGUGAAGCUUCACCGAGCACCUUCACCCGCACAGUUUGACCUCCGACCUUUAACCCCGCCCACCGAACACGCACACACGCUCCACCUACUGUUGUGCGUGUGUGUCGGUGACAUGGCUGCCGUUCCCCCCCUCCGUCCUUCAUGUCAAUAUGCCAAAACAUGUUGCAUCAGCGCGUUGGUUUUGUCGACCCCAGCAGAUGAGGCGGGUGGAGAGGUCGUCAAAUAUUGAUGCCAGAAGCUGAAGACACACAACUGCUCCCCACUGAGGAAACUUUGAACACAUCUGGGGCUUUAAGUUUAGAUACGUUUACAACAGAUUCAGGGAACUUUGUGACUUCCUGUUAUUAACUUAAACAACUGAUGGUAAAAAUCUCAUUCUACAACCAGCUUAAACGUUCAUUUUCUGGUGUUUGUGUUGAAGAAAAUGUCUUAAACGACUCGGCGGCGACAAAAUCCUGUUAAAGUC